CAGCUCCCUCCGGCGCCGGGCGCCCGCCCGCCCGGGACUCCUCGUACGCCUUCCGCCACUGAAUUCAUGGUGGCUUCGCAGGGCGGCGGGAGAAUUUCCUACAGGUUUCCCAGUCCGCAUCCGAAGGGAAUAGCCGGUCCCGGGAAGUCCCCCGCGGAGCGGAAAGAGCAACAUCCAAAUCAAGAGCGAUCCCCCCCGAUAGGCAGCACAGCUCUCAUCCGCA